rnacentral:rRNA from 1 species
UGGAGCGUGUGGUUUAAUUCGAUGCAACACGAAGAACCUUACCAAGGCUUGACAUGCUAGUGGUAGGAACCCGAAAGGGGGACGACCAGCCUCCGGGUUGGAGCUAGCACAGGUGCUACAUGGCUGUCGUCAGCUCGUGCCGUGAGGUGUUGGGUUAAGUCCCAUAACGAGCGCAACCCCUGUUCUGUGUUGAUUUCUCACAGGAAACUGCCCAGGAAUUCUGGGAGGAAGGCGGGGAUGACGUCAAGUCAGCAUGGCCUUUAUAUCUUGGGCA